UACGGAGGAUGCGAGCGUUAUCCGGAUUUAUUGGGUUUAAAGGGUGCGUAGGCGGCUUUUUAAGUCAGCGGUGAAAUUUUGCAGCUUAACUGUAACAGUGCCGUUGAUACUGGGGAGCUAGGAUUUGGUUGCUGUGGGUGGAAUGUGUGGUGUAGCGGUGAAAUGCUUAGAGAUCACACAGAAUAUCGAUUGCGAAGGCAGCUCACAAAGCCAAGAUUGACGCUGAGGCACGAAAGCGCGGGUAUCAAACAGGAUUAGA
rnacentral:rRNA from 1 species